AGUUUCUUGGAUUUUUAUUAGAGAUGAUUUCUGCUCAGUGUUUAUAAAUAGCCGCAGUAAUUUGACUGUGCAAAGGUAGCAUAAUCAUUUGCCUUAUAAUUGAGGGCUUGUAUGAAUGGGAUUACGAAAAUUUAACUGUCUUUUAUUUAUUUGUAUAAUUUGUAUUUAGUGUGAAGAUACAUUAAUUUUUUAGUGGGACAAGAAGACCCUUUUGAGCUUUAUUUUUUAGUUUUCUUUUUGUUAACAUAGAAUUUGGUUGGGGCGACCUAGGAAGAAAAUGUUUUAUCUUCCUUUUGUUUUUUAUAGAUCCAUUUUUUUUGGUUUAUAGAUUUAGUUACCAAAGGGAUAACAGCGUAAUUUUUUUUGAGAGUUCUUAUUAAAAAAAAAGAUUGCGACCUCGAUGUUGACUUAUAGUCUCCUUUUGGUGUAGUAGCUAAUAGGGUAGGUCUGUUCGACCUUUAAUACUUU
rnacentral:rRNA from 1 species